CAGCUGAUGGGAUCCCAGAGGUCGGCAGGCUUGGCUUUGAAAGUCACUGUAAGGAGCUUGGAGUGGAUUUUAAGUGCAGUGGGAAUCUUCUGAAAGCGUUUUAAGCAGGGGAGUGGCAUGCCCUAAAAUAUUUUACUUGUGGAGAAUAAAUUGUAAAGACAGAAGAAUGAAAGCAAGGAAACCAAUGAGGAGCCUUCUCUAAAAGGCCCAGCUCUGGACCAUGGUGGCUUGGACCAGGGAGGAGGUAUACAGAUGGGGAGCAGUGAAGGACUGGAGGGAUGUGUGCAAAGCACCAAGGCCCACAUCUGAUGCAUGGAUGGAAUGUCUCAAAACAUGGAGAGUGACACUAACCUCUGUAAUUUUGCCUAAGAUAACCAUCUCAACCCGAAGUGGAAGACCACAGUGAAAAGAGAAAGCAACAACUAAGAAAUGAGUAAAGAACGGAGCAAAA